rnacentral:rRNA from 1 species
GACGAACGCUGGCGGCGUGCUUAACACAUGCAAGUCGAACGGAAAGGCCUGCUUUCCCUUGUGGAUUGCGGGUACUCGAGUGGCGAACGGGUGAGUAACACGUGAGUGAUCUGCCCCCAACUUGGGUAUAAGCCUGGGAAACUGGGUCUAAUUCCCGAUAGGACUGCAGGGUGGUGCCUGCGGUGGAAAACGAUUUUCUAGUGGUUGGGGAUGAGCUCGCGGCCUAUCAGCUUGUUGGUGGGGUAAUGGCCUACCAAGGCGGCGACGGGUAGCCGGCCUGAGAGGGUGGACGGCCACAUUGGGACUGAGAUACGGCCCAGACUCCUACGGGAGGCAGCAGUGGGGAAUAUUGCACAAUGGGCGGAAGCCUGAUGCAGCGACGCCGCGUGGGGGAUGACGGCCUUCGGGUGGUAAACUCCUUUCGACCGCGAGGAAGCCACCUGGUUGGAAGGGUGGUGACGGUAGUGGUAGAAGAAGCACCGGCUAACUACGUG